rnacentral:rRNA from 1 species
UACGUAGGGGGCCAGCGUUGCUCGGAAUUACUGGGCGUAAAGGGUUCGUAGGUGGUGCGGCAAGUUGGGAGUGAAAUCUCUGGGCUUAACUCAGAGGCUGCUUUCAAAACUGCCGUGCUCGAGUGCGGGAGAGGCCAGUGGAAUUGCAGGUGUAGCGGUGAAAUGCGUAGAUAUCUGAAGGAACACCAGUGGCGAAAGCGGCUUCCUGGUCCAGCACCGACGUUCAGGCACGAAAGCGUGGGGAGCAAACAGG